rnacentral:ribozyme from 11 species
CAAAAAAAUAAAUGAGUCCAAGUCAUCAUCAUUCUUUUCUCUUCUCCUUUUUCGCCUUUUUCUCUUUCUUUGCCUUUUUGUCUUUCUUAU